UGUUCCGGGGUUCUGGCUGCAUGGUGGGAGUUCCUGUGCACCCUUAUUACCUUUUACCACCAGAUGGCGACAGGUUCCGGCUGGAGUGCGGUGCAUUAUUAUCCGCAGCUGUUCGUGAUCAUCCUCAUCAGCGGCGCAGACUUAAGGAGUUGGCCGCCAGUCCAGCGUCGCCUGAGUGUUAGCCAGUCACGGUGAUCCUUUGAUGAGAUCCCGGUUGAAUUCCUGGCUUUUGAACCAUCCUCGUGACGCCGUGGAAAGUAUCCACAGGUUGCCCGAGUUCCCAGACUUACCUCUCCGUUGUUUUGGCAAUUAUCUCCUGGACCCCACGGCUGGCGGCCGUACCACUCCUCCGUCUCCCCGCUGCUCUCGUGCCUACCUGUCCGCUGCCCACCGCACUCCUCCGUUGUUCCUGGACCCACCAAGAACCGAGACCCCGGACAUACUCGGUUUCCCCUCCAAGACUCUGUUCAUCAGCAACAAUGAACCAUUGUUGCCGUCCCUGUUUUUGCCCCUGGACCAGACCAUCCUGAUUCUCACUGAUAAUUGUGUGAUCUUUAUUAAAUCAUUUAACACUGAUCCUACCUCUCCUGUCUUGUGUUCUGCAUGUGGGCUUGUUAAAAACUACCAUCAUGACAGAACACUCAGGCCAACAAAUCAGCCCAGCAGACGCAAUCCGGAGAGCCUUAGCCGAACAACAAUCUACAUUGCAAACUCAUGAAAACGCACUAAGAGAGUUAAGUAGAACCCAAACUGAAACGAACCAACAACUGUCUGAAUUAACCCGAUUCCUUCGAGGUUCAGCCCCUCAAACUUCUCCUCCAGAUCCCGCUCCAGCUUCAAACCCAGCUCCGGAGGACAGGUCCUGGAUCUCUGGUUCUUCCAUCCUGGACCCUUCCCUUAUCUCCGACUAUCGUUCCUCGUUGCCUUCCAGUUCGUCUAGGCCGCCAGGUGGCGACCGUUGAGGGGGGGGUACUGUUAUGUUCCGGGGUUCUGGCUGCAUGGUGGGAGUUCCUGUGCACCCUUAUUACCUUUUACCACCAGAUGGCGACAGGUUCCGGCUGGAGUGCGGUGCAUUAUUAUCCGCAGCUGUUCGUGAUCAUCCUCAUCAGCGGCGCAGACUUAAGGAGUUGGCCGCCAGUCCAGCGUCGCCUGAGUGUUAGCCAGUCACGGUGAUCCUUUGAUGAGAUCCCGGUUGAAUUCCUGGCUUUUGAACCAUCCUCGUGACGCCGUGGAAAGUAUCCACAGGUUGCCCGAGUUCCCAGACUUACCUCUCCGUUGUUUUGGCAAUUAUCUCCUGGACCCCACGGCUGGCGGCCGUACCACUCCUCCGUCUCCCCGCUGCUCUCGUGCCUACCUGUCCGCUGCCCACCGCACUCCUCCGUUGUUCCUGGACCCACCAAGAACCGAGACCCCGGACAUACUCGGUUUCCCCUCCAAGACUCUGUUCAUCAGCAACAAUGAACCAUUGUUGCCGUCCCUGUUUUUGCCCCUGGACCAGACCAUCCUGAUUCUCACUGAUAAUUGUGUGAUCUUUAUUAAAUCAUUUAACACUGA